rnacentral:rRNA from 1 species
GUUAGGAAUAUUGGACAAUGAGCGCAAGCCUGAUCCAGCCAUGCCGCGUGAGUGAUGAAGGCCUUCGGGUUGUAAAGCUCUUUAGUCCACGAAUAUAAUGACUGUAGUGGAAGAAUAAGCCCCGGCUAACUUCGUGCCAGCAGCCGCGGUAAUACGAAGGGGGCGAGCGUUAUUCGGAAUCACUGGGCGUAAAGCGUGCGUAGGCUGUUUUGUAAGUCAGAAGUGAAAGCCCAGGGCUUAACCCUGGAAUUGCUUUUGAAACUACAAGACUCGAAUUCGGGAGAGGAUAGCGGAAUUGUCAGUGUAGCAGUGAAAUGCGUAGAUAUUGACAGGAACACCAGUGGCGCAAGCGGCUAUCUGGACCGAUAUUGACGCUGAGGCACGAAAGCGUGGGGAGCAAACAGGAUUAGAUACCCGAGUAGUCC